GACGAACGCUAGCGGCAGGCUUAACACAUGCAAGUCGAGGGGCAGCGGGGUCUUCGGACCGCCGGCGACCGGCGCACGGGUGCGUAACGCGUAUGCAACCUACCUUUCACAGGGGGAUAAUCCGGAGAAAUCUGGUCUAAUACCCCAUAACACAUUUUACGGCAUCGUAGAUUGUUGAAAUUUUCGGAGGUGAAAGAUGGGCAUGCGUGACAUUAGCUAGAUGGUGAGGUAACGGCUCACCAUGGCAACGAUGUCUAGGGGGACUGAGAGGUUAACCCCCCACACUGGUACUGAGACACGGACCAGACUCCUACGGGAGGCAGCAGUGAGGAAUAUUGGUCAAUGGACGGAAGUCUGAACCAGCCAUGCCGCGUGCAGGAUGACGGCUCUAUGAGUUGUAAACUGCUUUUGUAUAGGGGUAAAAGUAGAUACGUGUAUCUAUCUGAAAGUACUAUACGAAUAAGGAUCGGCUAACUCCGUGCCAGCAGCCGCGGUAAAAC
rnacentral:rRNA from 1 species